rnacentral:lncRNA from 1 species
UCACCGCUCCCGGCUGCUGAAGCAGGAGAAUAAAGCUCAUAAAGGCGGGCAGCACCAAGGCGGUGGGUCCGCACAACGGGACAGCAAAGGCCAGACAGGCAAAGAGUGGAUGAGUCAUUAAUGGAGCUGAAUUAUCUCUCCCAGGUCACCUGACAAGGUGCUGCAUGAGAAAACAAUCAGCUGACAUGUUUAUAGAGAUCGUUCUGUGCCCAAAACAGUUCCAUGUUUUGUUUCCAUAGCAGCUAUCUCCUGUUUCUUAUCAAAUAUUAGAACAACCAGAUCCUAAUAUUUUCUCUCUUUUAGCAUGAAAAUUCAUGAUGAGUGGCUGUGGAUUCAAGUAGAACUACAGAUACAAAACCUUCAGACCCAUUCCAUCAUAUGGUUCCAAUGUAAGGAAAAGCAUCCAAAGUACCAAGAAAGGUGAACACCUUAGGAUUCUGACAUCAUCUCUUUCAGCGAGUUCAUGGUUUGUCUGUAUUCCUCAAUUGCUGAAAACAAACAACAGCAAAACAACCAAGCUGAAGCCAGAAAUCAGCUUCUUCUAUGGAAAUAAUGAAUCCAGAGGACAUAAGUUCAAAAGCUGAGCUCCAAGUCAAAUUGUAGAAAAAAUUUUAUGUCCCUUGUGCCUCCUUGCUUUAGCAAUCUAGAGUGACUUAUAUUUGAUUGGCUUAUUAAACUUCUUAGUAGAGUUUGCCCAACUGCCUCAGAAACAGUAAUGCUUCCAAAGCAACUGAUUUUUACCAGAUUACAGUGUAGACUACAGGAGGAGGAACAGGGUUUAAGGAGAGGUGUGGCAUAGAAUCUUGAACCUUCUGAAAGCUGGCCAGUGUAGUGUGGAUACUUCCAGUUUUUCAGGGUUCCAUCCCAUAGCACCCUGUUCUGGAAUUGCCUUGCACUUAAAGAUUGAACAUUAUUCCACACCAUGCAGAGUCUGUGUUUUGGUCAUAUGUUCUGUUUAUUCUAGGCUGUAGUUUCUAUUUGAAGUCUUGGUAAUUUUAAAUCCUAUUAUUUUAAUAUUAAUGAUAUCCCAAAUUAAAUGUAAUUGAACAUGUUUGGAACGUGAUUCCUUU